UGGGGAAUAUUGCACAAUGGGCGCAAGCCUGAUGCAGCAACGCCGCGUGAACGAUGAAGGUCUUCGGAUCGUAAAGUUCUGUUGCAGGGGAAGAUAAUGACGGUACCCUGUGAGGAAGCCCCGGCUAACUACGUGCCAGCAGCCGCGGUAAUACGUAGGGGGCGAGCGUUAUCCGGAUUUACUGGGCGUAAAGGGUGCGUAGGUGGUCUUUCAAGUCGGUGGUUAAAGGCUACGGCUCAACCGUAGUUAGCCUCCGAAACUGGAAGACUUGAGUGCAGGAGAGGAAAGUGGAAUUCCCAGUGUAGCGGUGAAAUGCGUAGAUAUUGGGAGGAACACCAGUAGCGAAGGCGGCGUUCUGGACUGCAACUGACACUGAGGCACGAAAGCGUGGGUAGCAAACAGG
rnacentral:rRNA from 1 species